AGCAACUUGUUGUGCAUUCAUGCUUUUGCAUUAAUUUUGGUUGACUUGAGUGGUUUGACUAAAGUUCAAAAGUAUUUCAAAGUGAUUUUUAAAAUAGAUUUGAAAUUGGAUUUGGAAUAAAAGAAAGGAAAAGAAAAUAAAAAAAAACAAACCUCUCCCUCUCCAUCUCUCUGACCUGAGGCCCAGCACUCCUUCCCCUCCCCUUUUUCCCUUUUCGGCCCAGUAUUCCCCCCUCCUCUCUCCAGUCGGCCCAGCAACCGCGGCCCAAUUCCCCAGCCCAAGCCGCGCCUCCCCUUCCAUUCUUUCCACUGCCAGCUGGGCCCCACCCGUCAGUCACCUCCCUCUUCUUCUUCCUUGGGCGUGAGCGAGCCGGACUCUUGUCCAGGCCAAAAAUCAGCGCCCCGAUCCCGUUUUCUCCGGGAUUUUUCCUUCCUAACGCGCUCUACCGAAUCAUAUAGAAGCUUUUAACCACCCAACGUCCUUUUCUCAUCUUUCCAUCACCGAAAGCCGCCUCUGGAGCCGAUUUUGGAUCUCGCCGAAAAGCACAGGAACAAGCCGCCGCCGUGGAGCGCCCUAUUCGCGGUCGAGCCGCCGAAUUAGAGCUCUAGCCGAGUUUCCCGAGUCUCCUACGAGGUUGCCAAGCUCUUUAUUUCUUUUCUCUUGUGCUUUGGUUCACCCUAUAAUCUUCGCCGAACAUGCAGAAACGCCGCCGUCCGCCAGCUUCCUUUGUCCGUGGUCUUCGGCCGUUCCUCGAGCCUCUAUAAUCAUCUAGGUGAGUUCGCGUAGGUCUUCUCUUGGCCCUGGUGUUUUUAUUUUUGUCUUAGGGUGCUCGGAGUCGCCGUAUCGAAGAACUCCGGCGAGCCUCCAAUGGCGCCGCCGUGGAGGAGCUUGCUCCGGCAAGAAGGCCGGCCAACACCCCUUUCUUUUCCCCGGUUUCAAAUCCAAGCCAUACGAAUCUAAUCCAGCGGCUCAGAUUCAACCAUACCCCUUCACUUGGUACUUUUGUUUAAGAGCCCCUUCACUUUUCCAAAAUAAAACCCGCCGUCCCUAGCGUACUUCAGGAAUACGCAAGCUCUUCUGGAAAGCGUAUUUCGGCAGGGUGGAGUUCAAGAUUCAUUUUCUGAAUUUACAAGUUUGCCACUGAAACUGUUUUGCUCAUAACAUGCUCAUUUUAAACCCGAUUUGGUCCAUUCAAAUUGCACUAGAUUCAUUUUUGAAAGAUCUACAUAUUAGUAUACUUAGUUCAUCAGUUUGAAACCUUUUAAUUUCGUGAUCUUAUUUAAUUAAUUGUUUUUCUAUAUAAAAUCUUAGAAAAUUCAUAUCUUCUACGUUUUAGCUCCGAUUUUCGCGAUCUUUACGUCCAUGAAAUCGUAGCGAUGCGUAGAAUCUUUUUAUAAACUUUUCAUACUGUUCUCAUAUGAUUGGUGUACUGUUCUAAUUGUAGCCUUGUUUGUUUCGUGUAUGUUUUCUCCGAUUGUUUGUGUGAUCGAUGAUCGAGUUUAGACGGAGAGCAGUUUCGGUGAUCAAGAUCAAAGCUUUGGCAACAAGUGAGACCAGCAGAACCCAAAAGGAUAAGCAAGAGCAUUUGGAUUAAGGCAAGUAUAGCAUUUGGAUUUUAUUUCUGUGACCAUGAUCCUGUGACUAGAUUAAUGUUAAGUAAUAAAUGAUAAAAAUGACUUUUUAGCCACUUGAUGAUUUAUCUGUAAGUGAUAACCGGGACAACAGUGCAACCAUGAGGGCUAUAAUGGCUCUGGCUUUAGUUAAGUAUGAGUAACUUUUCUAGCUCGUUAGCGGUUACCCGUUGUGGCGCAAUUGGGGAAUAGCAGACCGUGGAUUCCUGCGGGUGAAUCAUAUGGACUGACUAAUGAAACCAAGCGGCCCUAACUUGUUAGACGAACCUUUGAAAGACUUCAUAGUGAUCCCUGCCGACCUUCCUUGGAAGUGGGUUAAGAGGCUGAUCACCUCGGGCGAAAGGGUAAAUCAUGACUCAUGGGUAAAGAUGUGCAACCUCUGCAGAGGGUUAAAAACUAGUAUACUAGCCGAGCUCACGGUCAGGAGCAGCCUUGGGGAUUCUUGCUGCGACGAUGAUGAUUCCUGUGUGUUAAAUAUACUCAUUAUUUAUUAUUUAAUGUUUUACAUUAUUUAUGUCACAUUGAUCAUGAGAUUGUGGGAGCUACACAAUCUAAUUGCUAUACUUGUGGAGUUCGAUAUGGACUCACUCUUGCAAUUUCCCCACACCUCAGGAUGAGUUUAGGCUUGUGAUCAACCAGUCAGUUGGAUCCUGUAGAGUGGAGUUAAUACCCGAAGUUGGAGUUGUCUACCCGCUGUUUGUUAUCAAAGGUUAUAUCUUUUAUACUAAGUACGUUAUAUAUUCAUGCAUUGUCCUUUGAUAUUACCCCUUAUUUGUAGCUAUAUGUGAGAUUUGUUUUCUAAAGCUCAUAUAUGGUGCAUAUCUGGUUUUAUCCUUAAAAUCGGGUAUUACAAAGUGGUAUCAGAGCAAUGCUGACUGUAGGACGCAAGCCUAGUUAGAAAUUGGUCAUCUUAAGGUUUUGGAAUUGUCAUAAAAUCCUUGCUCUAUAAACCUUGGUAUUUUCAUCCAUACUAUAUCAUUAUCCUUGUUAUUCCUCUCUACCUUGUUGCUUAAUUUAAAAAUAUUUGUUCUCAUCUGUAUUCCUUGAUUUGGUAUACUUUUAGAACCUUUUUCUUACCACCUUCUUGCGUCUUUGAAACAUAAGUUUUAGGAUCUUUGCCCUUAAUGAAGAGAACGAUAAUAUCGCAAGUUGAGUGAAGUGUGCUUAGUUGGUUUGUUAUUAUGCUUAUGUUUGAUUUGGAUCUUUGUAAUGAUUGCAAUGAUCUUGUGGAAUUACUUCACAAUUUCAUUAGUUUAUAGACCUAAGGCAUAAGGAUUAAUGAAAUAAGUAGUUGGGUUUGGCUAUCUCUUGUUUCUAUCCCUUGCUGUUUUCUGGAGCAGUCUGCAAUAAUCUUUGUGUACCUCAAGUUCUGAUCUUGCAAAGUUUCUCAAUUUUUUCUGGGAACAACUAGACUUCAAGAUCUUUCUCUGACCACAAGAAUCACCCUCAUAGGUAUUAUGGUUUGGAAGUUACAAAAAUCAUAAGAUGAUACAGAUGUGCUGUCCAGAAUCUGGACCAGUUUCGGGAACUUGCUGUCUUAGACAAAUAUAUCUAUAGAUUUUGGAAAAGUGUCCUAUAGAAAAGUUGUAGACAAUUUGCUAAGCUUUCCAACGGUAUAAACUAGAACUUAUUUGGAUAAGUAGAACCCGAGAUAUGAUAUUUACAGUUGGAUGUUUCUGUUCUAUUUCAAGAUCUGGACAGAUCUGGCAUUUGCUAUUUUCAGCCAAGUUAAAGACAGAAUCUGGGAAAGCGUUGUAUACGAAAGUUGUAGAGGAGUUCCUAAGCUUUUCAAAACUGUAAGGAUCAUCUCCAGAUGAGUUAAGUAGCUCGAGAUAUAAUUUUUGGAAUUUACAGCACCUUUGCUGAGACAUUAUCAGGAAGGAGAUUAUGUUUGGUUGUUUUACUUAAGCUUAAAGACAGAACCUAAGGAAGUCUUCUACAUGAAAGUUGCAGGUAAUUUCAUAAGUUUUCUAACGGUAUAAGCUAAAACUCUAUUGGAUUAACAGAAUAAGAGUUAUACUUGUUUUACUAUGCUGGUGUUUUCAUAUCACGAGAAGAUUUCAGGAUACCUGUUUGUUCUCUUGCACCUAAGUUCUUUGGGAUGUCAGGAGUUCUCAUGUUAGUUAACUUGUCUGGAAAACAUGCAAGCUAUCUUUCUUGUGCCCUAGUUGACUUUUCAUAAGGGGGGUAUCCUAGUUAAAGAAGUUACAAGGAGAAUGAUUGGUUAAUGUUGGAUCAUAUGUUAGGAUCAUAAAUGUUUGGUGAAUUUGGUUUUGUUUCAAGGUAUCAACCCACUUGGAGAAUAUAAUUGGAGGUUUAUGUCAUUACUGAUACUCACAGACUAAGAGUUGCAUAUGAGGAUCAGAUGACACCAAAGUUUAUAAAGCUAUAUGUACAAUGUGAGAGCGAAGCAACUUAACCGUGAUAAAGGUACCGAUAAUUGGAACUUAGUGACGAAACUAACCUUGGAUCAAGAGACUCGGUACAGCGAAUUUUAAAGACUAUAUGAUGUGUAGCAUUUAAACAGGUUAUGAGGACUAGUCCCUAAUGUCUCCCCAAUCAAUCUAAUUUUAAGGGGGGUAGUACCUUGAUAUCACGGGUGAUGCAUUUUAAGACUACCUUGGAGUGAUAAUUGUCUUCUAAGAUAUUCUAUGGUUAUGAUCAUCUAUCCUUGCCGUGUUACUGACGUUGGUCACUUGAUGACAGGGAGUGUAGUGUCCCAUGAAUCCGGAGCACAAUAUGAUACCUCUCAUGGAUAGGUGGGAAGAAUAUGAUCAUCUUGAUUUUGAAGAAAGAUGCUAUGAGUAUGACAAAGCUGAGUGUUAUCAAAAUAAUAAUAUGGAAGAGCAAGUUGACAAUGAAUCAAAUCAAAAUCCACAACGGCGGAAGCGUAAAAGGAAAGCUCGUAAGGAGCCCGCUCCUGGAAAUAAAGUGCAGCCAAAUUAUAUCAAUGGAAGACUGAACAACGUGGAUAGGCAUAACAUUCAAGGAGCCACCAAAGUGGUGGGAGGCUAUAUUCAAGUGGACUCAGUGCUAGUUUUUGCUCUGUUUGACCGAAGUGCUUCGCAUUCUUUUAUUUCCGCCGACUUGGUAAAGACAAUCGAAUGGAUGAAGUGUCCGACAAGAAAGCCUUUGUUAGUUCAAACCCCAACGGGAGAAAUACAGGCAGAUCAGGUUUGCUCAAAUAUCAAUCUUGUCAUAAAGAAGGAAAACUUUGCUGUAAACCUCAUUGUGCUAGAGUCACUCAAUAUUCCUUUGGUUCUUGGCAAUGGAUGGCUAUGUGCACACAAGGCAGUGAUCUAUGCUACCCAGUGGAAAAUUUUCUUAACUGCACCAUCAGGGAAAAGAAUUGAGUAUCAAGGUGGUCCACUCCUACCUGAGGAGGCAUAUCCAUGCCAAGGUAUCACGUCUUUGAGUUGUAUAAGCUGAAAAGUUGGUAGUCAAGAUGGACAGUGAGCAAUUACAAAUAAUAGACAUCUUAUGGAAGUUUUGUUCACAAGUUGUAAUCCCGAAACAUAAGUGCUUGCAUUUGGAAUACAAGUUGUCAAGUUGAAAUAAUGAUCAAUAUCUUAUUCUUGAUUAUGUUUUGGAAUCCGUGCCUUUUUCGAAUCUCGAGGACGAGAUUCAUUUUAGGGGGGUAGAUUUGUAACACCCAAAAAAAAUUUUUUACUCCUUUUUAAAAUAGGUGAAAUGAUUUAAUUCUGUAUUUUUUUGUGCUCAUGAAACAUAGGAAAAUAAUAUUUUUCAUUUAAUUAAAAUUUACCAUAGGUUUAGCAACUUGUUGUGCAUUCAUGCUUUUGCAUUAAUUUUGGUUGACUUGAGUGGUUUGACUAAAGUUCAAAAGUAUUUCAAAGUGAUUUUUAAAAUAGAUUUGAAAAUGGAUUUGGAAUAAAAGAAAGGAAAAGAAAAUAAAAAAAAAACAAACCUCUCCCUCUCCAUCUCUCUGACCUGAGGCCCAGCACUCCUUGCCCUCCCCUUUUUCCCCUUUCGGCCCAGUAUUCCCCCCUCCUCUCUCCAGUCGGCCCAGCAACCGCGGCCCAAUUCCCCAGCCCAAGCCGCGCCUCCCCUUCCCUUCUUUCCACUGCCAGCUGGGCCCCACCCGUCAGUCACCUCCCUCUUCUUCUUCCUUGGGCGUGAGCGAGCCGGACUCUUGUCCAGGCCAAAAAUCAGCGCCCCGAUCCCGUUUUCUCCGGGAUUUUUCCUUCCUAACGCGCUCUACCGAAUCAUAUAGAAGCUUUUAACCACCCAGCGUCCUUUUCUCAUCUUUCCAUCACCGAAAGCCGCCUCUGGAGCCGAUUUUGGAUCUCGCCGAAAAGCACAGGAACAAGCCGCCGCCGUGGAGCGCCCUAUUCGCGGUCGCGCCGCCGAAUUAGAGCUCUAGCCGAGUUUCCCGAGUCUCCUACGAGGUUGCCAAGCUCUUUAUUUCUUUUCUCUUGUGCUUUGGUUCACCCUAUAAUCUUCGCCGAACAUGCAGAAACGCCGCC
rnacentral:lncRNA from 1 species